UGGUCCGUGGCGCGUUCGCUUUAUUUAUGGCGCACAUUACACGGUCGACCUCUUUGCGGUAUCUAAUC
rnacentral:miRNA from 1 species